GUAAUGCCAUGGUAAGGCAUAAGUCAUCGGUUCAAAUCCGAUAAAGGGCU
rnacentral:tRNA from 1 species